rnacentral:rRNA from 1 species
CCUGGCUCAGAUUGAACGCUGGCGGCAGGCCUAACACAUGCAAGUCGAACGGUAACAGGAAACAGCUUGCUGUUUCGCUGACGAGUGGCGGACGGGUGAGUAAUGUCUGGGAAACUGCCUGAUGGAGGGGGAUAACUACUGGAAACGGUAGCUAAUACCGCAUAAUGUCGCAAGACCAAAGAGGGGGACCUUCGGGCCUCUUGCCAUCGGAUGUGCCCAGAUGGGAUUAGCUAGUAGGUGGGGUAACGGCUCACCUAGGCGACGAUCCCUAGCUGGUCUGAGAGGAUGACCAGCCACACUGGAACUGAGACACGGUCCAGACUCCUACGGGAGGCAGCAGUGGGGAAUAUUGCACAAUGGGCGCAAGCCUGAUGCAGCCAUGCCGCGUGUAUGAAGAAGGCCUUCGGGUUGUAAAGUACUUUCAGCGGGGAGAAGGGAGUAAAGUUAAUACCUUGCCUCAUGAACGUACCCGCAGAAGAAGCACCGGCUAACUCCGUGCCAGCAGCCGCGUAAAUACGGAGGGUGCAAGCGUUAAUCGGAAUUACUGGGCGUAAAGCGCACGCAGGCGGUUGUNAAGUCAGAUGUGAAAUCNCCGGGCUCAACCUGGGAACUGCAUCUGAUACUGGCAAGCUUGAGUCUCGUAGAGGGGGGUAGAAUUCCAGGUGUAGCGGUGAAAUGCGUAGAGAUCUGGAGGAAUACCGGUGGCGAAGGCGGCCCCCUGGACGAAGACUGACGCUCAGGUGCGAAAGCGUGGGGAGCAAACAGGAUUAGAUACCCUGGUAGUCCACGCCGUAAACGAUGUCGACUUGGAGGUUGUGCCCUUGAGGCGUGGCUUCCGGAGCUAACGCGUUAAGUCGACCGCCUGGGGAGUACGGCCGCAAGGUUAAAACUCAAAUGAAUUGACGGGGGCCCGCACAAGCGGUGGAGCAUGUGGUUUAAUUCGAUGCAACGCGAAGAACCUUACCUGGUCUUGACAUCCACAGAACUUUCCAGAGAUGGAUUGGUGCCUUCGGGAACUGUGAGACAGGUGCUGCAUGGCUGUCGUCAGCUCGUGUUGUGAAAUGUUGGGUUAAGUCCCGCAACGAGCGCAACCCUUAUCCUUUGUUGCCAGCGGUCCGGCCGGGAACUCAAAGGAGACUGCCAGUGAUAAACUGGAGGAAGGUGGGGAUGACGUCAAGUCAUCAUGGCCCUUACGACCAGGGCUACACACGUGCUACAAUGGCGCAUACAAAGAGAAGCGACCUCGCGAGAGCAAGCGGACCUCAUAAAGUGCGUCGUAGUCCGGAUUGGAGUCUGCAACUCGACUCCAUGAAGUCGGAAUCGCUAGUAAUCGUGGAUCAGAAUGCCACGGUGAAUACGUUCCCAGGCCUUGUACACACCGCCC